AAUUUUCGACAAUGGGCUCAAGCCUGAUCCAGCAAUGCCGCUUGCAGGAUGAAGGCCUNCGGCACNUNAACUGCUUUUGUACGGANCGAAAAGCCCUGGGUUAAUACCCUGGGGUCAUGACGGUACCGUUAGAAUAAUUCCCGGCUAACUACGUUCCAGCAGCCGCGGUAAUACGUAGGGUGCGAGCGUUAAUCGGAAUUACUGGGCGUAAAGCGUGCGCAGGCGGUUUUGUAAGACAGGAGUGAAAUCCCCGGGGUCAACCUGGGAACUGCCUUUGUGACUGCAAGACUAGAGUACGGCAGAGGGGGAUGAAAUUCCGCGUGUAGCAGUGAAAUGCGUAGAUAUGCGGAGGAACACCGAUGGCGAAGGCAAUACCCUGGGCCUGUACUGACGCUCAUGCACGAAAGCGUGGGGAGCAAACAGG
rnacentral:rRNA from 1 species